GAAUCUUGUAUGUGUGUGUGUGCGCUGUGCUCUCGUUGCCGAAGUAGUCUUAAAAUAAAGUUGACGGGAAGCAGCAGGCAACCGUGUUUCUUUCUCUGCGGAAGUCUAGCCGCAUCUUACUAAGUGGAGAGAUAAGUUCCGGGGUUGGGAAGGAAAAGGAGUGACGGACAGGAAGUGACAGUAGGAAGUAUUGUUCUUUUAGACCUU